UAUGUUUUUUCUACUUGAUUUCCUAUAUUUUGGCGUUUAAAGUUGAAAAAAGUAAUCUUAACUUUAUUUCAAUAUGGCGUCGAUAGUUUUUAACGAACCUUUCCCUUACGUUUAGUAUUAAAGUUUCGAAGUUAUACGAAACUUCUACCAAUGGCUGUGAUUGGUCGCGCCAUGUUGGCGUCCUCUCAUUUCGACCAAUCAGACACGUCCUUGUGUGAGCGAGUGCGUCGAUCUGUGACGCAGUGCAUCAUUUCUCUUCGACACUUCGUCCGUUAUGCACGUGUCUGUAACAGAAGUUCAUUCCAAUAAAACAUCAAAAGCCUGAUAUAAAACUAUUAAAUGAAUCUUCCUCAAAUUAAAGAAGUACAUUACAAUAAAACAUCAAAAGCCUCAUAUAAAACUAUUAAAUGAAUCUUCCUCAAAUUAAAGUGCCUGUAUGUCAACAUCCUACCUACUACACUAGUCUACAUCAUCAAUCUACUUAGGAGACCAUCCGCCGGGUGCUUUCUUCCAGCUACUUUUCAAUAGUCAGUCACCGGUUGGGUGAGUCCCAAGAGUUACAAAUUUUAUUCUUAUUUUAAGUGAGCAUAGUGACCCAUGAGUGGAUGGAUACUCAUGGAAAUAUGUUACAUAUUUUUCAUAUCUUUUUUCAUUUUUAUAUUGUUGUAUUUCUUAG